UACGUAGGGGGCUAGCGUUGUCCGGAAUCAUUGGGCGUAAAGCGCGCGUAGGCGGCCCAAUCAGUCGGGCGUGAAAGCUCUGGGCUUAACCCAGAAAGGUCGUUCGAUACUGUUGGGCUAGAGGUGUGGAAGAGGCUACUGGAAUCCGUGUGUAGCGGUGAAAUGCGUAGAUAUACGGAGGAACACCUGCGGCGAAGGCGGUAGCUGGCCACACUGACGCUGAUGCGCGA
rnacentral:rRNA from 1 species